AUAAUAAUAAUAAUUACAACGCCGGCCCAUAGGGCCUGGCAUGGAUUAACGGGGCAAGGUGACUAGGGCGAGAGGGCCCGCCCCCCUCACGCUGACGCCUCACCACGAAAGAGUCACAACCUCCGAAACUACAACCUCCAAGUCCUAGGCCGCUCUUCAAAGUCCACUACAUCCAAGCCUGCAUACCUAGCAUAUUGAGCUAGGGAAACGCCGCAUUAUAGUAGUGGAGCACUGCCAGUUCGUGCAAACCGAGGAGCCAUGGCGCUCCUCCUCGAGCCUUGGAUCUUGAGCCUUGUCUUGAACCUUGGACCUCGCCACUAAAUCGGACUUCUGCACCACGACCAUUCUAGGUUGCAGCGGGCAUAAGCCCGCAAUUGCCACUAAGGGCAAUUACCUAUCGUUCGUGGGAUCACCAAUCGGUUUCGCACCAAUCUUUCGCCUUUUGCAUAAUUGGGCUUUUAUCCGGAUUCGUACCCGGGUCCCUUCUGCCGUAAGGACGAGUCAAAUCCCUAACUGAGUUAGCGAUCCAGUGAUAGGUGGUCCGCAGGCGGGGUGAGGACAGUGCGCCCCCAACCCCCCGCACCCCGUGGUCACCUGUGGCCGAAUGCCCUUGCCCGCCCGGUACAGCCCGCAAGGCAGGUAAGCAUGUUGCAGCCGGUACACCAGCACCUUUGCCCCCCGACUGGCGUGGCUGUCCCACAGCCUCCGCCACGUACCCCGCAGAAGGGACGCAUCCGGGGGCGGCAUGCGAGGGUCGCCCUCCACCGCCGCCGCUGCUGCCGCCGCCGCCGUGGCAGGCCCCAUGCUAGGUCCCGCCCCGCCUGCCGCCUGCUCCUGCAACCGCGCGGACCGCCGCGGCCCCUCACCCGAGUGCUGGGACGGGGACGCAUACGACUGCAGUUCUCUCGCCGGCGUGUUCUGCAGCCCGGCUGCCGCGGAGGUGCGGUGGAGCCAGGGGUCCAGAGCCACCGGGUUAUUGUGGAAAUGCUGCGCCGCCGUGGUGGUCAGCUGCGCCGCUGCACGCUGCCACUCCGCCUCCCGCUCCGCCAGCCGCGACUGUGCCACCGGCUGGGUCCCCGAACCCCCCGCCUGCUGUGCUGGCGCCGGGCACGGCAUGGCUGCGGGGCGGGCCGGAGCCGGAGGUGCGGCCGGGUUGGCCGCGGUGAUGGCCCGCCGCACGUCCCGCACCGUGUAGUCCGCCAAGCUGACACCCGCAAUCCGGCAGUGCUCCGGGUGCACCACCACCCCAGCCUCCGGCGCCAGGAAGUACGGCGCCCGAGGCCACGCCCCCGCCCGUUCCCCUGGUGAUGCUGCAUCGUACGCCGCCCGCUCUUCAAAGGUCCACAGGUGCCGCGGCUUGCGAUGCUGCAGCACACAGGCAGGCUGCCACGCCCCAUCCACCGCCGGGGGCAACACGCCAGGCCCAGGCUCCAAGAGCCGCCCUGUGUAGUGGACGUAGGACACAGCCCCCGCAGCGUUAGCCACCCACAGCUGAUCCAGGCUAACCCGCCACUGUGGCAGCGCCGCUGGCGGCUGAGUGGCUGGCUGCAGCGGAUGCUGUUCCACACCCGCGCUCCGCACGUGACCGACCGCGGCCGCCAGCCGGGCAGGCAGCCCCGCUGGCGCCGGCGCGUCGCUGUACACCCACGCCCACGUGGUGGCGGAGUCCGGGCGCACAUGAGUAAGCAGCGCCCGGGUGAGCAUCUUCCAGGGUUGCCGGCCUGGCUGGGCAAGGAGGGCGAAGGUCUUAGCUUGCAGGGCAGACAGGAACGCAGGCAGGUCGACGUGGUUGACACCCCCAUCCUUGUACGGCAGACAUGCCGUUUCCCGCUUUGGCAGCAGGAGCGGGUUCCCGUGCGACACCAGGCUGGCGUCCUCAGCGUGCAUGGAGCGCGCAGCAAAGUGGUCCACCAGGUCGGUGAGUUCCUUCAGCUGUGCAGGCGACGGGUUGAGGAAGCUGAAGUGGUAGGCCAGCUUCGCCGCCAGCACCUGCUUCGCAAUGUGCACACGGCCAACAAGAGUCAGAGACAGGGCAGCCCACAGACGCGCCACAAACGCCAUGCCGCGAGCCCGCCGGGUGUACAAGUCAGCUGCAGCCGCCUCAGAGUCCCACGACAGGGGCCGCCUUGAGGUGCCCGAGCCGCCUUGAGCUGUGCGGUGAGAAGCUGAGUGGGCAGAGCCGACAGGGUUUCAGGGGUUAGCGUGGCGGCAGUGAAACGCAGCUGCAUCACCCUGCGCAGCUCGCUGACCACCUCCCGAACCACAUGCUCCGACGUCUGCUUAGCAGGCUCGCGGGACCAGUACGCACACCAGACGGCGUACAAGAAGGUGGCCCGCAAAGUGCUCCACAGCAGCGCGCCCGCCCCCCGCGGGCCUGAGGCCCACAUACCCAUGCGGUCCCCCAGCAUGAAGCCCGCGUCCGUCACUGGCGGCGCCGCUGCCUGGGGCGCAACGCAGGCCCACAGCUGCUGCAGCCACGUCCUCGCCUGCGCAUAAGCUGGACACUCCAGGAAGAUGUGCGUCAGGCUGGCCCACGCCCGCGGGCCAGGUGGCCCGCAGGAAUAAUAAUAAUAAUAAUUACAACGCCGGCCCAUAGGGCCUGGCAUGGAUUAACGGGGCAAGGUGACUAGGGCGAGAGGGCCCGCCCCCCUCACGCUGACGCCUCACCACGAAAGAGUCACAACCUCCGAAACUACAACCUCCAAGUCCUAGGCCGCUCUUCAAAGUCCACUACAUCCAAGCCUGCACACCUAGCAUAUUGAGCUAGGGAAACGCCGCAUUGUAGUAGUGGAGCACUGCCAGUUCGUGCAAACCGAGGAGCCAUGGCGCUCCUCCUCGAGCCUUGGAUCUUGAGCCUUGUCAUGAACCUUGGACCUCGCCACUAAAUCGGACUUCUGCACCACGACCAUUCUAGGUUGCAGCGGGCAUAAGCCCGCAAUUGCCACUAAGGGCAAUUACCUAUCGUUCGUGGGAUCACCAAUCGGUUUCGCACCAAUCUUUCGCCUUUUGCAUAAUUGGGCUUUUAUCCGGAUUCGUACCCGGGUCCCUUCUGCCGUAAGGACGAGUCAAAUCCCUAACUGAGUUAGCG
rnacentral:lncRNA from 1 species